GUGCACCAGUCGCGAAAACUUUACAAUGUGCGAAAGCACGAUAAGGGAACUCUGAGUGCCUCCUAAGGAGGCUGUUCAGGUGUCUAAAAAGCACCUGAAGGAAGGGCUGGGUAAGACCGGUGCCAGCCGCCGCGGUAACACCGGCAGCCCAAGUGGUAGCCACGUUUAUUGGGUCUAAAGCGUCCGUAGCCGGCUGGGUAAGUUCCUUGGGAAAUUUGGCUGCUUAACAGUCAAGCUUUCAGGGAAUACUGCCCGGCUUGGGACCGGGAGAGGUCAGAGGUACUCCGAGGGGUAGGGGUGAAAUCCAUUAAUCCUUGGGGGACCACCGGUAGCGAAGGCGUCUGACCAGACCGGGUCCGACGGUGAGGGACGAAGGCUA
rnacentral:rRNA from 1 species